rnacentral:rRNA from 1 species
GAUCUGGCUCAGGAUGAACGCUAGCGGCAGGCUUAACACAUGCAAGUCGAGGGGCAGCGGGAUGUAGCAAUACAUUGCCGGCGACCGGCGGAUGGGUGCGUAACGCGUAUGCAACCUACCUUAUACAGGGGAAUAACCUUUCGAAAGGGAGACUAACACCCCAUAGUAUUGAUUUAAGGCAUCUUAGAUUAAUUAAAUAUUUAUAGGUAUAAGAUGGGCAUGCGUAUGAUUAGCUAGUUGGUAAGGUAACGGCUUACCAAGGCGACGAUCAUUAGGGGUUCUGAGAGGAAGGUCCCCCACACUGGUACUGAGACACGGACCAGACUCCUACGGGAGGCAGCAGUGAGGAAUAUUGGUCAAUGGGCGCAAGCCUGAACCAGCCAUGCCGCGUGCAGGAAGACGGCCUUAUGGGUUGUAAACUGCUUUUACAUAAGGCUAACCGUAUAUUUGCGAAUAUACCUGAAUGUAUUAUGAGAAUAAGGAUCGGCUAACUCCGUGCCAGCCGCCGC